rnacentral:rRNA from 1 species
AUUGAACGCUGGCGGCAUGCCUUACACAUGCAAGUCGAACGGUAACGGGCCUUCGGGUGCCGACGAGUGGCGAACGGGUGAGUAAUGUAUCGGAACGUACCUUUCAGUGGGGGAUAACGUAGCGAAAGUUACGCUAAUACCGCAUAUUCUGAGAGCAGGAAAGCAGGGGAUCGCAAAACCUUGCGCUGAUUGAGCGGCCGAUAUCAGAUUAGCUAGUUGGUGAGGUAAAGGCUCACCAAGGCGACGAUCUGUAGCGGGUCUGAGAGGAUGAUUCUCCACACUGGAACUGAGACACGGUCCAGACUCCUACGGGAGGCAGCAGUGGGGAAUUUUGGACAAUGGGGGCAACCCUGAUCCAGCCAUGCCGCGUGAGUGAAGAAGGCCUUCGGGUUGUAAAGCUCUUUCGGCCGGGAAGAAAUCGUAUGGGUUAAUACCCUGUGCGGAUGACGGUACCGGCAUAAGAAGCACCGGCUAACUACGUGCCAGCCGCCGCGGUAAUAC